AAAACAAAAUGCUGUAACAAAAGAACCAGGAAGGCCAAAUCAGAAAAACUCUGACAGCUGAAAUGUCAAUGAAAAGUCCAAGCUCUCCUGAAAACUCCAGCCAUGGAGUCCCUCAAAGAGAAUUCCCCAUCUCUGGAUCAGCAACUAUUAUGUGCAGGAAGCAUAUCAAAGAGAAUUGAGAUGUUGUUAUUGCAUUGCUUUAAUUUUCAGGAGGCAGAGUGAGUGAAUAAUUUUUCUUCUUUGCUUUCAGGCAGUGUCAGGUAUCAGUCCAAUCUUCUGAGGGUCUUUUUUUGUGAAAUUUGUGUCAUCAUGGAAGAUUUGACUGGCCAGAAACUACAUCAGAACAUUCAAGCCAUGCAAAAGACAGUGAAUAUAUUAUGGUCUCAUUCAUCCAUAUACUUGGGGUCAUCUCAGCUGGUAUCAGAAUAUGCAAAGACAGAAUUCCUCAGGCGUCCCAAACUGUGUGUAUCAUUUAUCUGCAUAAACAGAUGGAUAAUUUUUGAAA